AAAAUAAAUGCAAUGAAUAUUUCUUCAGAUAGUUCUCAGAAGUUAAAAUUUGUUUCUGUAAAUGAAAUUUUAGCGAACACGUUUAAUGGCAAGGAAAUCCUUAAAUUUUAUGCGAAAAAUGACAUUUUACAUGAGGAACAACGAAAUAUACUAAUUACAACUAUUGCUAAAUAUAUGGAAGCUAAUGGGAUAGCUUGUUCCAUUUCAGACUGUGCUGAUAUUGAAAGGCAGAUAUGCGUAAUUUUUCCGUCCGAACAAAUUGAAUUUUACUCGAAUGGUAAACGAGGCAAAAUCUAUUAUCUAGGCUUUCCAAAGACAUAUUCAAAGAAAAAUCAUCACCAGAAGACGAUGAAGUGAUAGAAGAAAAUAUGGCCGUCGCAUUGCAAUAUUUAAGGUUGCCUUCAAUUACAGCAGACGAGUUUGACCUAUACUGGCGAAAAUGUGCUAAUUAUCGUUUUCAGCAAAUUACGGAAUCAAAAAAUACUGCCGACAUUUUUCAACUCUGGCCUGAAUACAAAAAGCCGUCUGGUUCACUUCUGAUCAAUAUAGAUUUUGAACUUAAAUUUCCUAUUGCAAAAAAAUUUAACGAAAGAUGGUCAAACUAUGGAGAAAAGGUUAUCUAUUUGCUUCAGACUAAAAUUACCUGUUCAGCUAUUUCAAAAAAAAUGCAGCAAAUAAAUUCGUUAAAUGAAGAAUCUAAAAUUUUAACAACACUUUGGAAUAUUCAUCAUUUAUUCCCCCCAACACAAAAAGUCACCUCAGACGAAAGUGGGGCCAAAGUACGAAAAAAGUUCUCUGUACCAGAUUCGCAGCAAAGUUUUGCAAUUUUGGCGGAAACUGAAGAAGAAAUCAACAUUAAAUUGAAACUUCUCGUACUUCAAGGGCGUAGUAUCCAGCCAAAGUUAUUAAUU